UACGAAGGGGGCUAGCGUUGUUCGGAUUUACUGGGCGUAAAGCGCACGCAGGCGGCUAGACAAGUCAGAGGUGAAAUCCCAGGGCUCAACCCUGGAACUGCCUUUGAAACUGUCUGGCUAGAGUUCGGGAGAGGGUAGUGGAAUUCCUGGUGUAGCGGUGGAAUGCGCAGAUAUCAGGAGGAACACCGGUGGCGAAGGCGGGUCUCUGGGCAGUAACUGACGCUGAGGAGCGAAAGCGUGGGGAGCGAACAGG
rnacentral:rRNA from 1 species